ACAGGAUGCAUCACAUUUCGUCAGGAUGCACUCUCCAAGUCUCCAUAUAGCCCGGCGCCCCGGCAUCGCUCUCGGUCCAGUGCCCAUCUUCUUCUACCCUCUGUCUCUCUCUGCCUUUCCUCUCGCCUUCUGCCUAGUUGCUGAUCCAUCAACGGCCACCGUGAGGCUCCGGCAGAGAGCGGACGGCAGCAGCCAACAGGUCUGGGUUGGGCACGCAUCCACUGAUGUUCUGUUCAUAUAUGAUAUUUGAUUUGAAACAGCAAAGACAUAGUACCGCCCUCGCCCUGGAUAUGUGCAGCAGCAGAGCUUACACGGAGGAGUUGAUAGCAGGUCUGAGCAACUUCGAGUUCUUCAAGAUCCUGCUCCCCGGAAUGUACGAGGAGGCACUGCCGCACUGGUAAGCUGAUCUCUUGCUCCGCGCUAAAUCCCAUCGGCUGGGCCGGCCCGGGGCUUUCAGGACGCGCACGGAUACGUGCGCCGGCGCCAGGUGGAGCUGCAGAUGAGGGGACGCUCAUGGACGGUGAGCCUGAAGCGCGGCAAGCGGCUGCUCGGCGACCGCUCGGCCUUCAAGUACGGGUGGCACAAGUUCUGCGUCGACAACAACCUCGAGGUCGGCGACGUCUGCUUCUUCCGGGUGAUCCGCUAGGGCAGUGGCUGCCGUGACGACGAGAAUGAAGAGCGGGAGCAGGAGGAGGAGGACGAUGAGCAUGUGCUCAAGGUGGAGGUGCGCAAGAAGAACGGCACGUUCGUCUCCUGAUCUCAUCGCAGGCCGGCCAAGUCGAGCAAUAUGUUGACUUAAUCUGUCAGUGUCAGCAGGAAAUCACUAGGCGUGCUGUAUUUCUUCUGGAUUGGAUUGUUCAUCGUCUUCAUCUCUGUCAGUAAGAUGAUCUCUGUUCUGGUGGUGGUGGGUUUGAAUGGUUUGUAAUCAGAUGAACAGCGUCCAAGGUGAAGUUAGCAACUCGUGCGAG